rnacentral:misc_RNA from 1 species
AGCAGGAAACCAACUUCGAUCAUUCAAUGUAUUGCCACUUUGCCAGUAAGAGGAUGGACAAUCACGAGAACUGAUGAACAAGGCUAUUGGCCAUGUUGGGUCAGAUGUUGUAAUCAUUACAUUCGCAAUGUACUAAGCCAUUAUCCUUCAAAAGGUGAUGAGUGUAUAUGAUGUAUCUUAUCAUGAGAAAGAGGUUUGGAGCCAAAGAAGUAAUCUUUUGGUGCAAGUGCAGUGUAAUUUCAGCGACUAGACAAGAGUUGUUUUUGUUGCAUAUAUUUUAUGUCCUCUUUCCUGUUAUUGUGUUAACUUUU